GUAUUACCGCGGCUGCUGGCACGUAGUUAGCCGGGGCUUCUUACUCAGGUACCGUCACUUUCUUCCCUGCUGAUAGAGCUUUACAUACCGAAGUACUUCUUCACUCACGCGGCGUCGCUGCAUCAGGGUUUCCCCCAUUGUGCAAUAUUCCCCACUGCUGCCUCCCGUAGGAGU
rnacentral:misc_RNA from 1 species